rnacentral:rRNA from 1 species
UGCUCAGUAUACUCACUUUAUUUUAUGUGCACCGCAGAUACUACGUUAAAGUGUAGA